ACAAAGGCUCUUUUCAGAGCCACUUUACCCUGUCCUAGAAAAAGCUG
rfam:Callithrix jacchus chromosome 4, whole genome shotgun sequence